CACAUACGUAAACAGAUCUGGAAACAAGUCGUAACAAGGUUGUUGUGAAGCCGAUAUCAGGAUGUGUUCGCACUGCUUGUUCCCAGUUGUUGUGACAAGUCUGAAACAAGUUGUUAUCACCUUGUUACAAGGUUGAUGACGGUAACAGACUUGCUACAAGUUGUUCCAACAAGACUAAUACAGGCUGUUCGUAACAAGUUGCUACAAGCUUGUUGUCAUCAACUUGUUACGUGCAGACGAUAUCAGACUUGUUGGAACAACUUGUUGCGAGUCUGUUGGUCUCAUCAACCUUGUUACAAGAUGAUAACAACUUGUUCCAGACUUGUCAACAACUGGGAACAAGCAGUGCGAACAAAU